GAUGAACGCUGGCGGCGUGCCUAAUACAUGCAAGUCGAGCGAACAGAUAAGGAGCUUGCUCCUUUGACGUUAGCGGCGGACGGGUGAGUAACACGUGGGUAACCUACCUAUAAGACUGGGAUAACUUCGGGAAACCGGAGCUAAUACCGGAUAAUAUUUCGAACCGCAUGGUUCGAUAGUGAAAGAUGGUUUUGCUAUCACUUAUAGAUGGACCCGCGCCGUAUUAGCUAGUUGGUAAGGUAACGGCUUACCAAGGCGACGAUACGUAGCCGACCUGAGAGGGUGAUCGGCCACACUGGAACUGAGACACGGUCCAGACUCCUACGGGAGGCAGCAGUAGGGAAUCUUCCGCAAUGGGCGAAGGCCUGACGGAGCAACGCCGCGUGAGUGAUGAAGGUCUUCGGAUCGUAAAACUCUGUUAUUAGGGAAGAACAUACGUGUAAGUAACUGUGCACGUCUUGACGGUACCUAAUCAGAAAGCCACGGCUAACUACGUG
rnacentral:rRNA from 1 species